AAAUUACUGAGGAUAAUUGACGAAACUGUGUUCAUCAAGAUGUUGAAGCCUGCAAAUUCCACAAUCUCAAUUGCAGUGUGGGACUGGAACACUCAAAACAGCGGAUGUCUGUUCCUUUCCUUUCACCUGCUUUCAUCUGCUGGCUGGGUUUCUGGAAGAUUAUGAUGGCGAAGGUCUGGCAUAUGCUCACUGUCUACCAGCACUUACUCAGUCCCUGGCCUUCAUCAAGAACCGAAGCAGGUAUAAGCCCCUUUCUGGCCAUUGGGUUAAAGGGAGUAGGCAGGGAGAACCAAGGACACCAACACUCACAUCUUUGUCCCUGCUGCUACGGCCAUUGAGGAGGCUGAGAAGCUGUGGCGUUGCUGAGAAGCCAUGCAGCUCGGACGGACAGCGUGGGUCUCUAGAAAUACGUCAUCAUUUCCAGGAAGCUGCCUUGGGAGCGAGGCAUUAUGGGAAACUGCUUUGAGAGAGCCGCCAUAAUAGGAAACUGCCUUGGGAGAGGGGCAUGAUGGGAAACUGCUUUGAGACAGCCUCCAUGACGAGAAACUGCCUUGGGAGCGGGGCAUGAUGGGAAACGUAUGGCCAACGGAAAUAACAGCCAGAGCAAGGCUCCCGGCAUAUGACCCAUUAAAGGAACCACCUGUGUCCCGUUAGGGCUGGCUGGGAAGAGAGACGUGAUGGGAAGAUGCCGGAAGACGUCUCAGCAGUCUACUGUGGCUACUGGGCCCGAGAAGAUCAGGACCUAUUCUUACUAUCCAUCGACUGAUUGCAUCCAUCGCUACCCAUCUUCCACCUAUCUGUAACCAUCCUCCUUGUUCUGAAAAUAAUACGUACCUUCAAGCUCCUUGAUAAUACAUAGCGUGGAUGUUCCCACUCCUGCUUCCAGGCAUAAGCUUCAGGCGAGCUUGUUUCAGGCUGUGAGAAUGGAUGAGGACAGCUGGAGCCAAUGAUGUUCUGCUGCUCAGCCAGAUCCUGGUGUCAUCACUGGGCAGCCCUACACUGGAAACUUGUCCCACUUCCCCUAUCUAUCUUCAUGUUGUGGCACACGAAGGCUUUUGGAUUUUCCAGCACUACAGGAUUAAAGGAGACAACCUUCUUCAUCUGGAGCAUCAGUUCCUGAGUGAACGUCCUGGACCAAAAUGAGGACCUGGGAAAUGAGGACCUUGCCGCAGGCCUCCUUGUGUGUUCAGCUUCUGCCCACAGAGGAACAUCUGAUUUGCCACUGCUCCUGCUGUUUUCUUGGGAAAUGUAAUUGUAGAACAGCUACCUAGAAUCUGUCUGGAACGAGCAGAGGGUGUAUGAAACAAAGCCUUUUCCUGAGCCCAAACCGUAUCCCAAAAAGGCAACAUAGAUGGCCCUAGCCGAAUUGCUGGGCCAUUGACACUGCUUCGCUAAUAGGCAGCUUAAGCUGAAUGAUAGUAUUUCUGAAGUUCCACCCAUGCAAGUACAGAGCAGGCUGGAAUCCACCUAACAUGGGAGACCAAACGAGACUGGACGCAUUCAGGCUGAUAUGGCCGUAGAUUACUCACAAAAUUCUGGUAGCUUCUUGGCUUCUUGAACUGAAUGAUACUAUUGACAAAGUUCCUGUUAUGUAUGUACUGAAGAGGCCAGAUGCUGCUUCACUUCCGAGAACAGAUGAAAUCGGGCAGGUUGAGGGUGGUAUGGCUGAAGAUUACUCACAAAGUUUCUGGUAGCUUCUCCUGAUUCAGUAAUAGGUUUUUUGAAGUGAAUGAAAGUGUUCACCAAGUUCCUGUGCUGUAUGAUCUACAGAGGCCAGACCCUGCCUAACUUCGGAGACCAAACGAGAUUGGGCACGUUCAGGCUGGUAUGGCUGUAGAUUACUUAGAAAGUUUCUGGUGGCUUCUCUCGCUUUGGUAAUAGGUUUUUUGAAGUGAUUGAAAGUGUUCACAGAGUUCCUGUGCUGUACGUACUACAGAGGCGAGACCCUGCCUGUCUUUAGAGACUAAAUGAGAUUGGGUGCAUUCAGGCUGGUACGCUUGUACAUUGCUCAGAAAGUUUCUGGUAGCUUCUUCCACUUCAGUGAUAGGUUUCUGGAAGUGAAUGAAAGUGUUCACAAAGCUCCUGUGCUGUAUGUACUAUAGGGGCCAGACCUCGACCAA